CCACGCCCUGUCUCAGUGGCACCCGCCAGUCUCUGAGGGCUGUUGUUCAGGAGUAGCUGAACUUGAGGUUGGCAGAGGGGUUUAAUUUAAUUGCCUAGCAAUGAAGUGCAACUGUUAAUUUAAAGUUCAGAUCACUGUUGAGUCCAGGUUUCAAUAAAAACAACCAGGAAAACAAGUUAGGACCACUCCCAGCUGCUUGAGCUUGCACACUGAAUUCAUACACUCUGGCAAAUGCACUGUGAUCUUGGGAACCUCGCCAAGGGGUCUGAUGGCUGUCGUCUGAGGAUGCCAUGUGAAGUCUUUAAUAAGCUGACAUUUCCUGUUUCUCAGCUGCCAUGUCUGAAAGCCAAACCAAAUAGUGUUUGGGCUCUUUAGCUCCCAGACUCUGUUUGUGUCUCUCUCUCGUCCUUCUCCUGACCCAGUUCUCAGCCCUGCCCGCCUUGCUUCUCCGCCCAGCUUGUGUAUAUGUGCAACACAGAGGUCCGAUGGCGGGCUGUGAUGUCGGCUUCGUUGUGAGACUAUGUCAGCAAUGAUGGCUGAGCGUAAAAAUAGAAAGAACCUGAGCCUUUGACUACUUCGUUGAUCCCUACUGGUUCCUCCUUCUUCUAGACUUCUUAUUAAUUGAGAAAAAUAAAUGCCUUUACUUA